rnacentral:rRNA from 1 species
GGUUCGGUUUGUGUAGGAUAGGUGGGAGACUGUGAAGUGGUCACGCUAGUGGUUGUGGAGUCGAAAGUUGAAAUACCACUCUGAUCGGAUUGAGCACCUGAACCUUGGCCCAUGAUCUGGGUUGGGGACAGUGCCUGGUGGGUAGUUUAACUGGGGCGGUUGCUCCUAAAGUGUAACGGAGGCGCCCAAAGGUUCCCUCAGCCUGGUUGGCAAUCAGGUGGUGAGUGUAAGUGCACAAGGGAGCUUGACUGUGAGACUGAC